rnacentral:lncRNA from 1 species
AUCACAAUUUGGCUUUUUGUCCAAAACUCAUGAAUGUGGAUCUUCACAAAUACCAGAGAGAGAGAUUAGAAAGAGUGAAUCUGACCCCCAGAAUCAAGGCUGGUCUUUAUUUAGAGCUGGGAGACCUGGGGAGAGCAGAGGCAAAGGUGGGAACAUCAAGUCCUGAGGAGGAGACGUAAGCCAAGAGUCAACAUCAUUGAGGGUGAUUUGGAGUCUGAGACAAAGGUUGCACCAUGGGCUGAUAAAAGCUGACAAUUCCAGACACCUAAAAUAGAGAACUAAGAUCUUGCAAGCUGCACGGUGCAGCAGAAAAAGAAAAAAAGACAUGUCUUUGCUCCUGACUGGGGAAAGGAAAGAAAAUCUGAAAUGCUUUUCUUCUCCAUGGAGGAUGGAGAUAUUUCUCUUCAUCCAAAAUGAAAUGAGUGGAACUUGGAAUGGCUACAUCACUCCCAGCCUGCCUGUGAUACAUAUCAAAGAUGCCUGGAUCUGAACUGGACAGAGGCAGAGUGCAGUAGUAAUAAAUCGAUUUUGGCCUUCAUUUUUGCUUCUCUGAAAGGAGACAUACAUUUGGUCCAUUGUUUACCUCCUUAAAAGAAAUAAAGUGUGGUCACAACUCAUCUGAGAACCUGCAAUCUAUUGCUAAGCCUAUUGCUAUUCUUUUUAAGAAAGAUGAAUCAGAGAGCUUUGAGGGGAAGAGGGGGCA